rnacentral:rRNA from 1 species
UACGAAGGGGGCUAGCGUUGCUCGGAAUCACUGGCGUAAAGCGCACGUAGGCGGAUUGCUAAGUCAGGGGUGAAAUCCUGGAGCUCAACUCCAGAACUGCCUUUGAUACUGGCAACCUUGAGUCCGGGAGAGGUGAGUGGAACUGCGAGUGUAGAGGUGAAAUUCGUAGAUAUUCGCAAGAACACCAGUGGCGAAGGCGGCUCACUGGCCCGGUACUGACGCUGAGGUGCGAAAGCGUGGGGAGCAAACAGGG